UUCGCCUGCAUUUAUAUUCAU
rnacentral:piRNA from 1 species